rnacentral:rRNA from 1 species
AUUGAACGCUGGCGGCAUGCCUUACACAUGCAAGUCGAACGGCAGCACGGGAGCAAUCCUGGUGGCGAGUGGCGAACGGGUGAGUAAUAUAUCGGAACGUGCCCAGUCGUGGGGGAUAACGUAGCGAAAGCUACGCUAAUACCGCAUACGAUCUAUGGAUGAAAGCGGGGGAUCGCAAGACCUCGCGCGAUUGGAGCGGCCGAUAUCAGAUUAGGUAGUUGGUGGGGUAAAAGCCUACCAAGCCUUCGAUCUGUAGCUGGUCUGAGAGGACGACCAGCCACACUGGAACUGGGACACGGUCCAGACUCCUACGGGAGGCAGCAGUGGGGAAUUUUGGACAAUGGGCGCAAGCCUGAUCCAGCAAUGCCGCGUGCAGGAUGAAGGCC